rnacentral:rRNA from 1 species
UGGGGAAUCUUGCACAAUGGGCGAAAGCCUGAUGCAGCGAUUCCGCGUGGAGGAUGACGCAUUACGGUGUGUAAACUCCUUUUCUGGUGGAAGACGAAUGACGGUACACCAGGAAUAAGGGACGGCUAACUACGUGCCAGCAGCCGCGGUAAUACGUAGGUCCCAAGCGUUAUCCGGAUUUACUGGGCGUAAAGAGUUCGUAGCUUGAUGAAUAAGUCUGUUUUCAAAUACCUCGACUCAAUCGAGGAAAGGGGAUAGAUACUGUUUAUCUAGAGAUAUUUGGGGGUGAGUGGAAUUUCGGGUGGAGCGGUGAAAUGCGUUGAUAUCCGAAAGAACGCCGAAAGCGAAAGCAGCUAACUACAAUACAUCUGACGGUGAGGAACGAAAGCUUGGGGAGCAAACG